rnacentral:rRNA from 1 species
UACAGAGGUCUCAAGCGUUUGUUCGGAUUCAUUGGGCGUAAAGGGUGCGUAGGCGGCGCGGUAAGUCGGGUGUGAAAUCUCGGAGCUUAACUCCGAAACUGCAUUCGAUACUGCCGGUGCUUGAGGACUGGAGAGGAGACGUGGAAUUUGACGGUGUAGCGGUGAAAUGCGUAGAUAUCGUAAGGAGACCAGUGGCGAAGGCGGGUCUCGUGGACA